CCUACGGGUGGCAGCAGUGAGGAAUAUUGGUCAAUGGACGAGAGUCUGAACCAGCCAAGUAGCGUGAAGGAUGACUGCCCUAUGGGUUGUAAACUUCUUUUAUAUGGGAAUAAAAUGUUCCACGUGUGGGAUUUUGUAUGUACCAUAUGAAUAAGGAUCGGCUAACUCCGUGCCAGCAGCAGCGGUAAUACGGAGGAUCCGAGCGUUAUCUGGAUUUAUUGGGUUUAAAGGGAGCGUAGGUGGAUUGUUAAGUCAGUUGUGAAAGUUUGCGGCGCAACCGUAAAAUUGCAGUUGAAACUGGCAGUCUUGAGUACAGUAGAGGUGGGCGGAAUUCGUGGUGUAGCGGUGAAAUGCUUAGAUAUCACGAAGAACUCCGAUUGCGAAGGCAGUUCACUGGACUGCAACUGACACUGAGGCUCGAAAGUGUGGGUAUCAAACAGGAUUAGAUACCCGGGUAGUC
rnacentral:rRNA from 1 species